UCAAUACCACAUAUUUCUACACUAAGGCUAACCCUACUGAAGCAUUCAAGAUUCCCAGAGAACAGGUGUCCAAGCUUCUCCCAGUGUGCUUUGCUGAGAAGAUCCUCAGAGUUUACUGUAAGAACUCAGCCAGUCUGAGAGAUGCUAAGUUCUGCUUUCAAAGUUGGUGUCACGAAAUUGACUUUCUAACUGAGGAUCGAGACAGAGCAACUCCAUGAAAUGAAGAUGUGAAACACUGAGAGAUUUAUUUUUUUGUGUUACUGCAGAGAUUUAAAAACAGGUAAAUCGACGAAC